rnacentral:rRNA from 1 species
AGUGCAGGCGGUGCAGUAAGAUAGGGGUGAAAUCCCGGGGCUCAACCUCGGAAUUGCCUUUAUUACUAUUGUGCUAGAGUGACAGAGAGGAUAGUGGAAUACCCAGUGUAGAGGUGAAAUUCGUAGAUAUUGGUAGAACACCAGUGGCGAAGGCGACUAUCUGGCUGUCAACUGACGCUGAGGCUCGAAAGCAUGGGGAUCAAACA